rnacentral:lncRNA from 1 species
UGAAUUGAUAAUUUUAAGGAAAUUUUGCUGUUUUUGGUUUAUUAUCUUGAAUAUUAUUAUAGAUAGAGAUAAACUGUAAACAGCAAUAAUGUUCAGCAAAGUAAGAUUUACAAAUAAGUCAACAUGACGGAAAUGGUCAGUUGACCCCUUAAGGAGUUAUUGCCCUUUAUAGUCAAUUUUUAACCAUUUUUCGUAAAUCUUAGUAAUCUUUUACAAAAAUCUUCUCCUCUGAAACUACUGGGCCAAAUACUUCCAAACUUUAACUGAAUGUUCCUUAGGGUAUCUAGUUUGUAAAUUGUAUCAGAAGUUGUGAUCUAUCAACAAACAUGGUCGCCAUUGCUAAAAAUAGAACAUAGGGGUCAAAUGCAGUUUUUGGCUUAUAACUCAAAAACCAAAGCAUUUAGAGCAAAUCUGACAUGGGAUAAUAUUGUUUAUCAGGUCAAGAUCUAUCUGCCCUGAAAUUUUUCAGAUGAAUCAGACAACCUGUUGUUGGGUUACUGCCCCUGAAUUGGUAAUUUUAAAGAAAUUUUGCUGUUUUUGGUUAUUAUCUUGAAUAUUAUUAUAGAUAGAGAUAAACUGUAAACAGCAAUAAUGUUCAGCAAAGUAAGAUUUACAAAUAAGUCAACAUGACGGAAAUGGUCAGUUGACCCCUUUAGGAGUUAUAGCCCUUUAUAGUCAAUUUUUAACCAUUUUUCGUAAAUCUUAGUAAUCUUUUACAAAAAUCUUCUCCUCUGAAACUACUGGGCCAAAUACUUCCAAACUUUAACUGAAUGUUCCUUAGGGUAUCUAGUUUGUAAAUUGUAUCCGAAGUUAUGAUCUAUCAACAAACAUGGUCGCCAUUGCUAAAAAUAGAACAUAGGGGUCAAAUGCAGUUUUUGGCUUAUAACUCGAAAACCAAAGCAUUUAGAGCAAAUCUGACUGGGUAAUAUUGUUUAUCAGGUCAAGAUCUAUCUGCCCUGAAAUUUUCAGAUGAAUCAGACAACCUGUUGUUGGGUUGCUGCCCCUGAAUUGAUAAUUUUAAGGAAAUUUUGCUGUUUUUGUUUAUUAUCUUGAAUAUAAUUAUAGAUAGAAAUAAACUGUAAACAGCAAUAAUGUUCAGCAAAG